AUUGAACGCUGGCGGUAGGCCUAACACAUGCAAGUCGAACGCGAAAGUCCUUCGGGAUGAGUAGAGUGGCGGACGGGUGAGUAACGCGUAGGAAUCUAUCCUGUAGUGGGGGAUAACGUUUCGAAAGGAACGCUAAUACCGCAUACGCCCCAAGGGGGAAAGCGGGGGAUCUUCGGACCUCGUGCUAUAGGAGGAGCCUGCGUCGGAUUAGCUAGUUGGUGAGGUAAAGGCUCACCAAGGCGACGAUCCGUAGCUGGUCUGAGAGGAUGAUCAGCCACACCGGAACUGAGACACGGUCCGGACUCCUACGGGAGGCAGCAGUGGGGAAUAUUGCGCAAUGGGCGAAAGCCUGACGCAGCCAUACCGCGUGUGUGAAGAAGGCCUUCGGGUUGUAAAGCACUUUCAGUGGGAGGAAAGCUGGUGGCUAAUAUCCAUCGGCCGUGACGCUACCCACGAAGAAGCACCGGCUAAUUCCGGUCCAGCAGCCGCGGUAAGACGU
rnacentral:rRNA from 1 species